rnacentral:rRNA from 1 species
UUUCAGCAGGGAAGAAGCGAAAGUGACGGUACCUGCAGAAGAAGCGCCGGCUAACUACGUGCCAGCAGCCGCGGUAAUACGUAGGGCGCAAGCGUUGUCCGGAAUUAUUGGGCGUAAAGAGCUCGUAGGCGGCUUGUCACGUCGGUUGUGAAAGCCCGGGGCUUAACCCCGGGUCUGCAGUCGAUACGGGCAGGCUAGAGUGUGGUAGGGGAGAUCGGAAUUCCUGGUGUAGCGGUGAAAUGCGCAGAUAUCAGGAGGAACACCGGUGGCGAAGGCGGAUCUCUGGGCCAUUACUGACGCUGAGGAGCGAAAGCGUGGGGAGCGAACAGGAUUAGAUACCCUGGUAGUCCACGCCGUAAACGGUGGGAACUAGGUGUUGGCGACAUUCCACGUCGUCGGUGCCGCAGCUAACGCAUUAAGUUCCCCGCCUGGGGAGUACGGCCGCAAGGCUAAAACUCAAAGGAAUUGACGGGGGCCCGCACAAGCAGCGGAGCAUGUGGCUUAAUUCGACGCAACGCGAAGAACCUUACCAAGGCUUGACAUAUACCGGAAAGCAUCAGAGAUGGUGCCCCCCUUGUGGUCG